rnacentral:rRNA from 1 species
AUAACGGUCCUAAGGUAGCGAAAUUCCUUGUCGGGUAAGUUCCGACCCGCACGAAUGGCGUAACGAUGGCCACACUGUCUCCUCCUGAGACUCAGCGAAGUUGAAGUGGUUGUGAAGAUGCAAUCUACCCGCUGCUAGACGGAAAGACCCCGUGAACCUUUACUGUAGCUUUGCAUUGGACUUUGAAGUCACUUGUGUAGGAUAGGUGGGAGGCUUUGAAGCAGAGACGCCAGUCUCUGUGGAGCCGUCCUUGAAAUACCACCCUGGUGUCUUUGAGGUUCUAACCCAGACCCGUAAUCCGGGUCGGGGACCGUGCAUGGUAGGCAGUUUGACUGGGGCGGUCUCCUCCCAAAGAGUAACGGAGGAGUUCGAAGGUUACCUAGGUCCGGUCGGAAAUCGGACUGAUAGUGCAAUGGCAAAAGGUAGCUUAACUGCGAGACCGACAAGUCGAGCAGGUGCGAAAGCAGGACAUAGUGAUCCGGUGGUUCUGUAUGGAAGGGCCAUCGCUCAACGGAUAAAAGGUACUCCGGGGAUAACAGGCUGAUACCGCCCAAGAGUUCAUAUCGACGGCGGUGUUUGGCACCUCGAUGUCGGCUCAUCACAUCCUGGGGCUGUAGUCGGUCCCAAGGGUAUGGCUGUUCGCCAUUUAAAGUGGUACGUGAGCUGGGUUUAAAACGUCGUGAGACAGUUUGGUCCCUAUCUGCAGUGGGCGUUGGAAGUUUGACGGGGGCUGCUCCUAGUACGAGAGGACCGGAGUGGACGAACCUCUGGUGUACCGGUUGUAACGCCAGUUGCAUAGCCGGGUAGCUAAGUUCGGAAGAGAUAAGCGCUGAAAGCAUCUAAGCGCGAAACUCGCCUGAAGAUGAGACUUCCCUUGUGGUUUAACCACACUAAAGAGUCGUUCGAGACCAGGACGUUGAUAGGUGGGGUGUGGAAGCGCGGUAACGCGUGAAGCUAACCCAUACUAAUUGCUCGUGAGGCUUGACUCU